rnacentral:rRNA from 1 species
ACCCUGGGCAGGAUGAAGUCACCUUAACCGGUGAUGGAGGUCCGAAGUGUUAAACGUUGAAAAGUUUCUACAUGAUCUGGGGUUAGGGGUGAAAGGCCAAUCGAACUUGGUGAUAGCUAGUUCUCCCCGAAAUAGCUAUAGGGCUAGCGUCGUGAUUUAACCCGCGGGGGUAGAGCACUGAAUGAUGUAGGCUGAGCGACCCUCGGUCCGAAUUCAAUCAAACUCCGAAUACCGCGGCGAACAUCACGGCAGUCAGUUCGUGAGGGAAAAGCUUCACGUGCAAGAGAGAAACAGCUCAGACCGCCGAUCUAGGUCCCAAAGUUCAUGCUAAGUGGCAAAGGAUGUGGGUUUACUUAAACAGCUAGGAGGUUGGCUUAGAAGCAGCCAUCCUUUGAAGAGUGCGUAACAGCUCACUAGUCUAGCGAACCUGCGCCGAAAAUGACACGGGGCUAAGCAUGACACCGCAAUCGCGGAUUUACAGGGGCGAAGGUCUCUGUAAGUGGUAGGGGAGCGUUCUUAUCGCAGCGAAGGCGUACCGGAAGGAGCGCUGGAGCGUUAAGAAGCGAGGAUGCUGGAAUAAGUAGCGAUAAACAAGGUGAGAAUCCUUGUCGCCGUAAGCCUAAGGUUUCCUUGAGCAACGUUCGUCGGCUCAGGGUCAGUCGGGCCUAAGUCGAGGCCGAAAGGCGUAGAUGAAGGACAUCCGGUUAAUAUUCCGGAACUGCAGUAGACGCGUCAUCACCCAAGAAGGGACGCAGAAGGGUAAGCCAUCCCGGUGAAGGUUGUCCGGGUUCAAAGCCGUAGGUGUGGGCUCGCAGGCAAAUCCACGAGCUCGUUAAGCCGAAAGCCGAAUACGACUGCCGGGAAACCGGCGGGAAGUGGCCCAACCACGCUGCCGAGAAAAACUUCGUGGGGAGUUUCUACUGUAACCGUACCGCAAUCCGACACAGGUAGGCGAGUUGAAUAUACUAAGGCGCGCGAGAUAACCUACGUUAAGGAACUAGGCAAACUAACUCCGUAACUUCGGAAGAAGGAGUGCCUGAGUAGCGGUGUGGGAUUUAAAGACCACGCGGUGAAAAGGCCGCAGUGAAAUGGGGAUCGUGACUGUUUAACAAAAACUUAGGGCUCUGCUGAAAUCGCAAGAUGACGUAUAGGGCCUGAUGCCUGCCCGGUGCUGGAAGGUCAAGGGGAGGGGUUAGCCGCAAGGCGAAGCUUCGAACUUAAGCCCCAGUAAACGGCGGCGGUAACUAUAACCGUCCUAAGGUAGCGAAAUUCCUUGUCGGGUAAGUUCCGACCUGCACGAAUGGCAUAACAAAGAUCCCGCUGUCUCAACGUAGGGCUCGGCGAAAUUGUGGUGCAAGUGAAGACGCUUGCUGCGCGCACCUAGACGAAAAGACCCCGUGGAGCUUUACUGUAUCUUGUCAUUGAAUUACGGUUUUUAAUGCGUAGGAUAGGUGGGAGCCGGUGAUCCCAGGGUUUUGGCCCUGGGGGAGGCAACGGUGAAAUACCACCCUUUUGAAAUUGUGAUUCUAACGCCGCAGCCGUAAACCGGCCGGCGAACAGUGGCAGGUGGGCAGUUUGACUGGGGCGGUCGCCUCCUAAAGAGUAACGGAGGCGUACCAAGGUUCCCUCAGGGCGAAUAGAAAUCGCCUGUCGAGCGCAAUGGUAGAAGGGAGCUUGACUGUGAGGCCGACGGGCCGAGCAGGUACGAAAGUAGGUCAUAGUGAUCCGGUGGUACCUCGUGGGAGGGCCAUCGCUCAACGGAUAAAAGCUACCCCGGGGAUAACAGGCUGAUCUGGUCCAAGAGUCCACAUCGACGACCAGGUUUGGCACCUCGAUGUCGGCUCAUCGCAUCCUCCCGCUGAAGCAGGUGGGAAGGGUUGGGCUGUUCGCCCAUUAAAGCGGUACGUGAGCUGGGUUCAGUACGUCGUGAGACAGUACGGUCUCUAUCUGGUGUGCGCGAAGGAAACUUGAGGGGAGCUGUCCACAGUACGAGAGGACCUGGAUGGACGAACCGCCCGUAUGCCAGUUGUCCUGCCAAGGGCAUAAGCUGGGUAGCGGUGUUCGGUAGGGAUAAACGCUGAAAGCAUCUAAGCGUGAAACCCGCCCCAAGAUUAGGUUUCCCUCCUCGAUUAACGAGGCUGAAGGCCCCCGGAAGACUACCGGGUUGAUAGGCCGGGUGUGUAAGCAUGGCAACAUGUUCAGCUAACCGGUACUAAUCGGCCGUGAGGCUUGGCC